rnacentral:misc_RNA from 1 species
UGAGGAAAGAGUUGAGAUGCCAAAG